CCUGGCUCGCAAGUGCAGCUUCCCGAAAAUGCUGUUCUUACAGAUACAGUUUUAUUAUGAAGGAAACACACAAGAAAAGUUCUGGAAGGGCCGGGAUUCAGUGCUCUUGUAUCCUUUCUAUGGAAUCUGGAUGUAGCAUUGUCUGUGCACCACAGUGUGUUCAUGAUUUGGGAUGCUCCACUCGGUGUCCAGAGUUUUUGUAUGGGCUGUCAUCACACAGGCAUGACUGUGUAAACCACUGGGCAUGUGACUGAGUUCAAUCUUCAGUGCUUUCUCCUUCAUGGAGGUCAGACUGGCCCAGGAUUCCAGCCUUCUAAUCAUGAGUUUGGUCUCUCUAGUGACCAGCCCUGAUCCUGAAGCUAAUUAGGCAUCUACCGUGAGUCAUUUCAUUAAGAUCAACAUUAACACAAACAUGCCCAUAACUCAGGAAGUUCCAAGGGAUUUUGAAAUUCUUUGCCAGGAAUGGGAUCAAAGACCAAAUAAAUUCUUUAGCAUACCAUAAAACCUUUAAUAUAUCAAUCACAGUUGUUGUAAGCUUCUUAUCUGACAAUUUCAAAAUCUGUGUUAUAUCUGAAUCCAGUACUGAUGCUCAUUCUGUUUCUUCAGAUCGCAUUUUCUUCUUGCCUUUAGUAUAUCCAAAAUUUUGUUGUUGGGCACUGAGGCAGUCAGGCUAUCAGUAUAAAGAUGAUAUUAGUCUGGCCAGGACCUGGGUGUUUCCUGUUUAAGGUUUAUUAUAACUGUGCACCAAAGAUUCCAUUUUUCUCUAAUUUCCCAUUGUUUGCCACUUCCAUGCUGUCUCCAAGUCUCCUAAGAACCUCUUCUUAAAUAGAAUGUCUCUCUUAGGUGUCUCAUUUGUAACCCACUGUUUUUAUAUAGGAGCUCUGUCAGUGUAGGGAUAAGAUUUUGAGGAAGGGAAGCAUUCCACCUUAAAAUUAUAUAUCAGUUUUUUUAAUGGACUUGAGUUCCCGAGUUGUAGCCAUCAGUAACUUUUCUCAACUUUUUUUUCCUAUUAUGCAAGACAGAAAAUCUAGAAUGACUAACAAUGUCUAGUUGCUCUUCCUCUUCAUCAGAUAAGGCUGUAGCAAAGUAGCUUCCCUUGAGCACAAUCUCAUUAGAGAAAGUAGAACUGUCUGGGCUUAUUUCAAAGUGGUUACUUCUGUUCUUCACUGCUCACAGAAGAGAAGAUUGUCUCUCAUAUUUUACUCACCCCUGGUGGGUCUUCUGAAGGCCAAACCCACACCAGUAUAGGAGGCCCCCUAAAACUGGGUACAGUGGAUUUUAACUCUGGAGUUAGUCUGAAGUCAGCUUUCAGCAGUUCAUCAGUUGCUGUUUAUUUGUUCCUACCAGUUUCUAUCUCCAUAUGUCUCUGGUCCCGGUAAACUGUGAUUCUCUAUAUUUGCAUGUCUGUCUGGUUUUUGCUGUGGCAGUUUGUGAUGUGACCUCAGUGCUCUUGCAGAUCUAAUUAAAGUUGCUGAUUUUUAGUUUGUUCAGCUGUUUUUGUAUAGUCAGAACAGGAAAGAUAAUUUCAGAGCUCUUUGUGUGUCAGAGCUAAUCAGGAGGCAUGACCAGUAUGCAACUAGAAGCAGGGGUCUGAAAUCCAUAUGUACUUAGGCCAUGGCCCAUGGGGACAGGCAUAUUGAUUACUUCCAGUGGUCACUGACUCCUUCAUAAAACCAGCUUUUCAGCUAAACUGCAUUCUACAAAUGUACUACUUGCUAGGUUACUGGUCAAUUAAAUGCAGUCUUCAAAAGAAAGACCUUUUAGUGAGAUUUGGCUUUGUGAUUUGAACUGGCCUUUUUGUUUCCACUCUGUCCAAUCCCAGAGGCCUUUUCAGCUGGUGAAUGGGUUUCUCAUACGUUCUGUGCAUUGCUAUUACUCUUAAUGUAUUCUAGAACAUGAUUUUUCUGGCUUGUAAGCAUCUCCAACCCAACUUAUGAGUUUUCAGCUCUUUGGAUUUAAAUCAGAAACAUUUUAGUAAGUCUGAGCCCUAGAGACCCACUACUAAUAAGACUAUCACUAGGAUGAAUGGAUGAAGGGUGUGUGUGUGUGUGUGUGUGUGUGUGUGUGUUCAAACCUGUAUCAGUGAUUUUAUAAAUUUAUACCUAUGUUAUAAAUUUAUGUAUCUGAUUUCUAUGCUAGGUCUAGUAAUAUAUAUAUAUAUACAUAUAUAUAUACACUUAUCUAAAUCUUUUUGAACAAUUAUAUAAUAAGAAUUAUUUAAUACCUAUCUUUGUAAGCACAUUUAUAAACUUUUGACAUGAGAUUUGUAAGUUCCUAACCAGCAUUAAUAUUAUAUUAAGAAAUUUGUAAUAAAAGUGUCUAACAUCUCUUUUCAUAAAAUAUAUAACAGUUUAGAAAAAUAGUGUAUUUUAAGGCAUAUGUGGAGCAAACUGACAUAUUCUUUCAUCUACAAAAGUUGCAAGAAGUUCAUGAGAAACAAAAAGAUUGAGUUGUCAGUAUUCAUAGUGCUUCUCCCUGUUCAUUUAUUACUUUGUGCACCAGCAUAUUCUGGUAAAUGCUUAAUAACUGGUUCUCCCAAAAGAAAUGCCCCAAGUGUGGAAUCUAUUAACUUCUUUAGUGCAAAUACCCCCAUAAUGGUCAAUUCCAGGGCCGCGUAACACUGAGUAGCAGAGGCAUGCACUAAUCAGAUCUCAUUAGGUCCUAAGGACUGACUGGAGCAUUUGCUGCCUGUAAACAGGAGACAAAGGAUUGUUAGGGGCAUCAUAACUGUCUGAGAGUGUUGGGAGCAAUGCUACAUAAUACUAGGGAAAAAUCAUUUGAGUAGGCCUAGUUCUCCUGCCUACAGCCCAGCUAGGACAUUCCAGACAUAAUUGCAUUUUGGCCUCUGGUCACAACUGAGACCUCAGUGAUCCCCCCCCCCCCAUGCUGCAAUCUCCAGGACAAGACCACACCUGUGGGAGAUGCCAGGGAGGAACCAAAUCUUCAUCUGCAUAAUUCCUCAUUGUUCUUAGAUUUCCACUGCCCCCCAGCUUUUUGUUACACCUUGUUUAUCCCAAUGUGAAGUACUGAACUCUAUUUUUCACUUGUUACAUUUGUUUCCCCAUGUACUGAAUAAAAGGUGCUGGAAGCUAGACGGUUUUUGUCUUUGCCACCCAGAGCAGCACUGAUCAGACCCAAAGCUCAGCUUCUUCUCAGUCUCAUUUGUCUACCUUUCCUGUAAUUCGCUGUGUGCUGCCAUGGCUCACAGGUGACUAGGACUUACUGCAGAGGUUCUGGUAAUGUCCCCUUCCCCUGUUCCCUACAUGAGAGUGUUCAUAUUUUACAAAGAUGAGGGGAAAGUCAGAGGUUGGGGCUGGUGAGGCUUCUCAGUGAUUUUUCAUGGAGAUUUUGCUGGUUUCUGAGUGAUGAUGUGGGCUUUAAAAAUAUAUGGACCAUUUGAUUUUCAGAUACCUAGGCAAUCAAGGUGAUAUUUGUGUUAUCAUGCUUUUUGUGUGUCAGGUAGGAAAAAAAUUGUCAGUUGGGAAAUAAUGCUGUUUUUUUAUUCCUUAGCAUUUAGAGUUUAAAUAUAAUGACUUUAGUAAUAAUCCUACUAAUAACUAUAUGUGUCUUGGUAAGAUAUACUAUUUUUUCCACAGUAUUGACCAUUUAAUCAUUGAAGGUGUUAUGUGAAGAGAAUAUGAUGACUCUGAGAAUGUUGCUGGUACUGAAGUUUUGAUGGGAUCCAAAGAGUGUUAACGGUUCCCUAAUGAUGAAAGUGGACCAAGGUUAUUUGUUGGUAUCUUGAUAGAACAGACUGUGUCCUUAAAUGUAUUUAUCACAUGGAUCUACUUAGGUUCCAGUCAAGACAUCACUGUGUACAUACAUGUUUAUUAAUGGAGCUUUCCAGGUAUCCAGGCAAGUGAUAAGGAAGGAUAGAUAACACCCUUGACUAACACUGAGAAACCAUGAAAUUAGAACUGUGACACUGGAACUUGUGUUCUCAAGUCUUUUGCUCUCCCAUCAAGCUCUUUCCAAGUGCACAGAGAUGAGCUGCUGUUACAUUUCUCAUUAAAGAUGUUGUUUCCAGACAUCAAGGUAAUUAAUGAUACUGUUGAAAUUCUUCUACUGAAAUUGUUUUUGGUAUGUGUGCAGAUGAAAUAAUGGCCAGCUUAAGUGGGAAUGCUCAGCUUAACUGAGGGUGAUUCUGCAUGUGGGUGACCCACCUAAGGAUUGUUGCCAGAACUGCAUAAAAGGAGGAUAGGAGGGGAGGAAUGCUGGCUGCUGAUUUCCCAGGAGAAGCUUUGUUGGAACUGGAACUCAGUGGCUUUUCUUGCUGUUGCUCCCUCAGUGGGUGGGUGGGGGGGGGUGCUGGUCUUUGCCUUUGUCUUGAGCAUCACUCCCUGGUUCCAGUGCAGAUCCCUCAGUGUUCUGGCACAGAUUGUUCACCCUGCCGGCAUAGACUUUUGAGCUUCUACCACUGGCCCUUGGGCCUUUUGGUGCAGAUUCUUGAUAUGAACUUGCAUGAGACAUUGCUGAGGGCUGUAGGCCUCUGGCUGGACUCAUGUGGAAUAUUAUGUGGAAAGAUCUAUUGCACUUUUCUGGGUUUGACUUUUUGGGAGAAUAUUGUAAGACAGUCCUAUAAAUUUGUAUAUCCUGUGGUAAAUCUGUUUCCUUGGAAACACCGACUAGAACAGUAUGUUUAUAGGUAAAAAAUAAAUUUGUAACAGUAAACAUGGAUUUUUCUUUAUUUGCAGGUAUAGACAUGCAAUAAGAUGUGCACCAAACACUGGGAUUUUUAGAUUUCUGUCAAGACCUUAUAGUAACCCUUUCAACUGUUGGUCAGCACACCAUGUAGGUAGGUGGUUUCAUGUAGGUUCUGAUGUAGGCCCAAACCACAGCACAGCUUGGCAAUCUUACUGGUUUUACCUUCUCAAGUAUUCUUAAAGAUGUAUUUUCUAAAGCCUUUGCAGAUUUCUAUCAUGAGAUCACAGUUAAUCUAACAUCAGCCUUUAAUGGCAGACAUUGCUGUUAUGCAAACAAGUGCUGAUGUAGACCAAAACUAAAGCACAGACCACCUGAUCUUCAGAUCACAUGAGGCAAGUGGUUAUGGUUUCCCUACCACUUGCCAUCAUGAUUUCUUUGCCAGUAUUCAGGUGAGGAAUAAUAACAUCCUUAGGAACACUUGAAACCAUGCAGUUUCUUUUCUGUAUUUCAGAGAGAAUGUGUAACCCUGUAAGGAGGUUGCACAUAUCCAAGUAUUUAUCACAUAGUCCCAACUAUAGUAAUCAUAGGAACUAGGCAGAUAUUCCACGAAGAAAUGUUGUCUUAUCUGACAUUAUCCUUGACCUUGGAGAACCACAAGAAUCCAGGUAGAGUCCUGUGAUCAUGGAUGUAAUAGAAGCUAUUCAACAGUUCCUGGUAGGUUGUGUCUUGAUUCCUGUCAAGGGUUAACAGUGAACUUAAAAAGUUCAUUAUCAGGAGAUAUUUCUGUAUUAGAGUAAAUAUUUUCAUGUACAGCACAUGCCAGACCGACCAUUAGAUCAUCAAAUAUCUGGGUCAGUGAUGUUUGUUUCCCUACAAUUUUUAUCAUAUGAUUAAAAAAAUGUAAGUAUGUAGAUAAGGAAUGCAGUAUUUCAUAUUCUAGAAACCAUAUUAUUGCAUUAUCUUACAUUUAGAGAGAAUUUACCCUGGGAAUUUCAAAUGACUUUCAUGUACUCAGGUUAUUAUUAUGCAUUUAUGCAUCAUGGUAGUUAACAAGUUAAAUAUUAGCAGUCAUGAGAUAAUGAGGUUUGGAACAAUGAUGUUCAUCAUAAAAUAAUCAAGAAUACAAGUAGAGUUGAUGAGUCCAGGUAGAAAUGAAAUCUUGCAAUAAUGACAAUAAAGAAAGUUAUUUGAAGGGUCCCAGUAGAAAAGUCUUACCAUACAUAUACUUGUCACCCAUGUUUUUACAUUUCCAUGCAGAUACGGUGGUAAGUCUCAUGAUGACCAACAGUGGCAGUUUGUUGUAUCCAUGGCCAUGAUGAUCAAGAGGGAUAUUGUAAGUGUGGGGUUCUUACAUUUAUUUUAGCAUGUUUCCUGUACAUAUUUAGUAAAGGAAUGAUUCUGUUUACCACUGCUAGUAACAAGUAGCUUAUUAUAUAAAGUUUUGAUAAACUCUGAAUUUAAUCCUAGGAGGUGUGGAGGCAUAUGCAGGGAUCCAUGUAAGUUAUUCAACUGAUCCACAUCACAGUAUUGACCAUAAUUUUUUCUACAGGUAGCCAGCCAAGAGAAAAUGGUGUGAAGAACAACAUCUCUGACCUUGAAGUUCUAAAGAUCUAAGUACUUCAGUUGGUUUCCCUGAUGAUGGAGGUGACCAAAAUUUUAAAGUUGUCCUUUUUUUCUCCCCUCAGGUGAAAGAUGAUGCGUCCUAAACACACAUCUCAAAGUGUUGUCUAAGAUUCCAACAGUUAUUAAAUUAUAGUGAUUGAACUUAAGAAUGGUAAUUUAUGAAAUGUUAUGACUAACCUGGUAAGUAAGAAAUUGUCCCUACCAAGAUGCCAACAAAUAACCUUCAGAUUUCUUGGUAAAGUGGAUGGGAUAUCUAACACAAUGUUACCCUGGCUUUUUGGCAGGUAUUCCAUUAAGUUUUAUCCUAGUGUACAGGUUUGUUGACUUUAAAUCAUUAGAGGCAUUUCUUAUUUUUUGGUAUUUAUAUCAUGAAUGAUGCUUUUGAACUCCUGUGGUAACCUCUGCUUAGAACACAGUUCAAAAUAUGAUUUGUCAGUAAUGCUUUUUGUAAAUAUGAGAUUGUACUAUGGACUUAUUUAGAGAUUGUGAUAGGUUAUUGUAUAGGGAUGCAGGUCAUUGACCAUAUUUCCUAUCCCCUAGUAUUGACCAUGGGAAUUUUGCUAGUGUUUCUUCCAAACAAGAUGGUAUUUCUUAGUAGGCUUUUACCUCAGUGUUCAGCUUUAGCCAUGUAAUUGUGAUAAGAAUAUGAUUUGUCAUGUUGAACGCCAUGACCAAGGGAAUGUGUCAAUGUCUUCCUUGAAUGACAUAGGUUCCAAAAUCAUUUUUCAUGAUUUGAUUUUCAAGUUCCUCUGAAGACACUGUGAUUAUCCUACCCAUGGGAGUGAGUAAAGUCCAUAGAGGGUUAUGAGAUGCCCUUCAAGAGAACACAGUGAUCCAGAAAAGAUGGUUGUUGCAGUCACCCUAGUAACAAGGUAUCCUGCCAAAAGGUCUUGGGAGAUGCUGCUACCCUCAGCCAUGCAACACCUUCUUCUUUACUGAUGGACAGUCAUGUCACAGUGAGCAGCACAGUAUAAUCAGGUGGAUGCAUACAGACAUCCAGGUUCCUUCAAGGGAAGAUGAGCAGACUAUGGCUGGAACUGCAUGCAGGUGUCAGGUGAGAAUCAGCGUGCUGGUACCUCAUUGGGCACCAAGUGAUGGUCUGUAUUCAGAUGGAUGUGAAGAGGGUGUGCAUGAGGUAUUCGCAUGUUUCCUAGACAUGCACCCUCUAAGGUCUUGACUACUGAGUGGUUCAGAGUUUGUGCCACACUCAGCAUCAUAGCCUUUUUUUCUGUGACAGAUUGGCUAUUGAUGGUGAACCUCUGAUUCUGCCCUCUUCAUCGACAAGUGUGGUGCUCUGUGCCUUCUUGCUGUCACGAGGAAGCAUCAGAUGCUAUUGGUUCCCUUCCAGGAGAGAUGACGUGUAUUUCACACUUGUCCCACUAGGGGAGUAAGCAGGGCAUGAGGUCACUGUGACAGAGUGGGUCCCUGAGAUGGGGAUUGGAGUGAAUUGGGAGGUAUCUCCUCAAAGGCAUCCAUUACCAUUGCAUGGCUAGUUUGUUGACAAGAAGGAGGGAGGAGCGUGGUGGUGGUGAUGGAACCUGAAUGAUAGGAUGACAUGGGAGUUGUACAGGUAGACACGGAGGAGACCACAAAGGGUAGAAUCUCUUGUGCUUCUUUUCCAGUGAGGGAGUCCACAGCUCAUGGUGAGCCCUGAACAUCACCAGGAUCUGUAUAAGGACAGCCAUGGACCUUCACUGCAGCAUAGGCAGGGAAUAUCCAUGGCCUUCACUAAGUGAUAUUGGGGUCCCUGAUGUGGAGUCGUGGGGUAGUGGGGUUGCUGUGACUUUGCUUUAGGUUCUGGAGCCCAGGAGAGCAAUGAAGGAAGAACUGAGCCAAUCCACUGACCCUGAAUUUUUCCUUCGUGUAUAGUGAAGUAAAAUGAAUGUUGAUCUUCUCUACAUCCUUGGAGUGCUUAUUCUUUGGUCCAGUGGUGUUGUGAUGGACCACCCUGCCCAGGAGAAAGCACAGAAUUCUUUGCAGGUCAGUAGUUGAUGAUAAUGAGUCUCAGGAUGAGAGUUUUGCACUCAAAUUGCUUCUGGUAUCAGAGUGAAGAGAAAGCCUUUGUGCCAGUGGUGAUGCCAGAGCACAGCCCAGUGUUCUUGCAGAGCAAAGGAUAAGGUUUUAGCAGGGUGUGGUUUGCCUUCCUUUCAGAUAUCUGCAGUGAUGAAAAAAUGUUUGUUGUGGUGAGAUUGCUGAUGAUAGAUGAGACCUCUGUGCAUGUAGCCUGGCUACAGGGCAUGAUAUUCCUU
rnacentral:lncRNA from 1 species